ensembl:lncRNA
UUCCUCAUGUAAUAGCAUGUUGACGGCAAGUCAAUCUUUCCAACUCUAUUUCCUGUUUUAUCUUAAUAUUCUUGAGAUAAUGAAUGUUGAAAGUAUUAACUUAGUGGCAGCAUAUUACCAGAAAUCUCUCAGUCAGUAGUCAAUAAAACUUUGAGAAUACCUACUAUAAUAAGGUCACUGGGGAUUGAAACAAAAAUCUGUGUCCUUAAACAGUUUAUAAUCUAGUGGAAGAAGACUGCAGAAAAGAUGGUAGAAAAGUGAGUUGGAAAGUAAAUAUGUAAGGAUGGAGACAUCCAAAAUGAGUACAUCCAGAUGAGAAUUGAGUUAUCUGAUCUAUGGAGGGGGACAGGAUAGACAGCACCUUCCAAACAGACAUAAGACAUUGUAACAAGGCUGAUUGCAUGCUGCAAGAUUUUCCAAUGAGUUUACUGCGUGUUGCCUGUUUUUGUGUGGGACAAUGUUACCCUGAUAAAAUGUUGAACCAGUUUUCUAAUUAUUAGUGGAAGAAAUGGGUUUCAUGACUUGAGUUCAGCCAGGAGCUUUUCUUGGAUGAUGUAAAUCUUUGCCUUGGACUUUGUUCCAAAGUCAUAUUUCACACUAACCCAACUUAAAAAUGUUAAGUUUACAUCUGCCAUGAACAUUGUUCAUUUGUUUCCAUCAUUCUGUCCCAACUCUUCAUAACCCAGUUUGGGGUUUUCUUGGCAAAGCUACCAAGAGCUGCUUGCCAUUUCCUUCUCCCAUGAAUCAACUUUGUCAGACAAUUGGAGGUUAAGUGAUUUUGCCAGUACACAGCUAGGAUGGAUUUGAACUUGUCUUCCUCAUCCCAGGCCCAGCCCUAUAUCCCCUGACCCACCUGCUGCCUCAUGUGAUUGUUAGUGUUGCUUUUUUUUCCUAUUAGAAAUCCUAGUGAAUUUCUGUGCUCUCUUAAAUAGUCAAACUAUUUACCUCUUUAGUUCUCCUUUUGCCAGAAGGAGGGUCUUCGGGCAAUUAGGUUUCUUGUUCAUCAGGAAAACAACUGGUGGAAAAGAGGGUCAUAGCUAGCACUUUGUUAGUGCUUUAAGAUUUGCAAGUUAUUUCUUUUAUGUGUUAUUUCUUUUCUACCUCAAUAGCAGUUUGAGGUAGAUGCUAUUGUCUAUUAGAAAGAGGCUAGUGACUCUUACUUCCCUUAAUACACCUUAUGAAGUGCAAAUGGCAUCAAGACUCUGCUUAGGACCUGCAUUUUACAUUAGAUUUCCCUGAAUCUCAUCCCCAUCCUGCACCCUGGAAUGGGGACAGCCCAGCCCCAUAAGAUGACUGAGACAUAUUUGAGUGCUAGACUUGGGAAACCUGAGUUUGGGACUGUUCCCCCACUGACUACUUUUGAGCAAGUCAUUUAAGUUCUGGUCUUGUUUCUUGCUUUGUUAAAUGGGGAUAUAAUACUUGUGACCUACUUCAAAAUUAUGAUGAAAGGAUUCAGUGAAAUUGCAGUAUAAAUGCAUAUUUUUCUUUUUCCUUUAGUUUUUCUUCUCUCUGGCUUCCCUUUACUGGAAGGAAGCCUCUUUUAUAUCUUACCAUAACUUUCCUAAAAAAAAAGCCCUGUCUUUAUAGACAGAAACUAAAGGAGGGAAGGGGUAGGAUUCCCAAAUCUGUAAUCAAAAUGACAACUCUAAGGACAGACAAGUGAGGGCAGGGUAUGAGUGAGCUGUGUCCAUGGUGAUCUCAGAAGAUACUUGCAGUAAGACCAGCAAUAAAUGCUUCACAAAAGAGCAAGUACUUCUAAGGUAGUAUUUAGAUAGGAAAGGGGAAAUAAUUUAAACAAAGGAAGCAAUAAAGGGAUGUAGACAGGGGUGUACACUGUGUUCUCAAGGAAUGAAUAAUAACUGGAGGGGUGGAUUUAUGUGAGGGAACUGCUGCAAAAUGGAUUAAAGAUUGGUGUUGAAGCCAAGUGAGUGAGGCCUAAUCUUUGAAUGUUAUACUUGAUGUUAUCUUUCACUUGCUUGUUCCCUGGACUAAACUUACCACAAGCAAUUUCCUUCUGUCUUGAGAGACUUAAUUGUAUUGUUUUGGAAAGUUUUGCAGUGCUUUUGAGGUUUAUUAGAAAGGCAAGCUGCCAUUGCAUCCUUGUUCAAACUCAGACUUAAUGACUGUUACAAACCAAUGAUAUCUUUUUCUGUGGUAGUUACAUAAAAGCAUGUACAAUUUUUUGUCUGUUAGUUCUGGAAGCUUGUUAAAAACUCAGUAAGGUCAUUAUCCAUAAUCAUACCUAAUACAAAUCAACAAAUUAUGUAAUUGUUUUAUUCAUUGGAUGGAAUUCUUUUUACAAAGAAUUGAUAAAAACAAGUAUGAACAGAAUAAACUGAAUUGUGUCAGUGUCAAACCUGGAUCAUUUACAGAUUGGAUUUUUUUUUGUUGAUGUUUUUAAUUUUUAAAAAUAUUUUAAAAGUUAACUGGUUCUGCAUGGACAGAUCCUCUGUAUUAUGGUCUAUCAGUAUCUUGAAUAAAU